UCAGCCCAGGCCACAGCUGACCAAGAGGACUCCGGAGUAAGGGCAGAAGACCCAACAGCUGAGCCCCGUGCUGACCAGGAACCAGUGAGAACUGAGGACACAGGAGCUGGGGCAGAGGACACAGGAGAUAGGACUGAGGAGGAUGAUUGUAAGGCCCUCAAUGGUGAGGG